UAAAGUUUAAUCCGUGUCACAUCGAAUAUUCGGAGGCUAAUUAGAAGGAUUAAAUAUGAGUUAAUUCUAAAACUAAUUACACGGAUGGAGGCUAAACGACGAGAUGAAUCUAUUAAGCCUAAUUAAUCCAUCAUUAGCAAAUGGUUACUGUAGCAGCACAUUGUCAAAUCAUAGACUAAUUAGGCUUAAUAGAUUCGUCUCGCCGUUUGACCUCCAUUUGUGCAAUGGGUUUUGUAAAUAGUCUAUAUUUAAUACUUCUAAUUAGUAUCUAAACAUUUCAUGUGAUACAGAUUAAAGUUUAG
rnacentral:lncRNA from 1 species